rnacentral:rRNA from 1 species
GACGAACGCUGGCGGCGUGCUUAACACAUGCAAGUCGAGCGGUAAGGCCCUUUCGGGGGUACACGAGCGGCGAACGGGUGAGUAACACGUGGGUGACCUGCCCUUAGCUCUGGGAUAAGCCUGGGAAACUGGGUCUAAUACCGGAUAUGACUCCAUGACGCAUGUUGUGGGGUGGAAAGCCUUGUGCGGCUAGGGAUGGGCCCGCGGCCUAUCAGCUUGUUGGUGGGGUNAUGGCCUACCGAAGGCGACGACGGGUAGCCGGCCUGAGAGGGCGACCGGCCACACUGGGACUGAGACACGGCCCAGACUCCUACGGGAGGCAGCAGU